GUGCCCGCUUUGGCAGCACAGAUACUAAUAUUGGAACAAUACGGAGAAGACUGGCCUGGGAGUUCCCGUCGUGGCUCAGUGGUUAAUGAACCCAAUGAGUAUCCAUGAGGAUGCGGGUUCGAUCCCUGGCUUCGCUCAGAGGGUUGGGGAUCUGGCGUUACCGUGAGCUGUGUCACAGACGCAGCUUGAAUCCCACGUUGCUGUGGUCGUGGCCUAGGCCGGCGGCUAUAGCUCCAGUUCGACCCCUAGCCUGGAAACUUCCCUAUGAUGCAGGUUAGGCACUAAAAAGACACACACACACACACACAUACACAAACACACACAAAAAGAUUAGCCUGGCUCCUGCACCAGAAUGACAUGCAAAUUUGUGAAGCCUUCCAUACUUUA
rnacentral:snRNA from 1 species